UGGGGAAUUUUGGACAAUGGGGGAAACCCUGAUCCAGCCAUGCCGCGUGAGUGAAGAAGGCCUUCGGGUUGUAAAGCUCUUUUGGUCGGAAAGAAAGGAUUCGGGCGAAUACCCUGGAUUUUUGACGGUACCGGCAGAAUAAGCACCGGCUAACUACGUGCCAGCAGCCGCGGUAAUACGUAGGGUGCGAGCGUUAAUCGGAAUUACUGGGCGUAAAGCGUGCGUAGGCGGUUCUCCAAGUCCGCUGUGAAAGCCCCGGGCUUAACCUGGGAAUGGCAGUGGAAACUAUAGGACUGGAAUCUGGCAGAGGGGGGUGGAAUGCCACGUGUAGCAGUGAAAUGCGUAGAGAUGUGGCGGAACACCGAUGGCGAAGGCAGCCCCCUGGGCUGAGAUUGACGCUGAGGCACGAAAGCGUGGGGAGCAAACAG
rnacentral:rRNA from 1 species